rnacentral:tRNA from 1 species
GUAGGUGUAGCCUAAUGGAUAAGGCAUAGUACUACGGAUGCUAAUAUGGGGGUUCGAUUCCCUUCAUCUACA